rnacentral:lncRNA from 1 species
GGGGCAAAGGGUGACAAGAUGUAUGUGAUUCUGGCUGUCCUGGCAACUUUUCCUCGAGCAAAUCCAGCUUCUGGCCACGUCAAUGCAGAUGAAACUUGUCUGAGCUCACGGAGAGGCAAAUCCCAUGCUGGUACCAGCACAUUCCCACUGCCAAGGGGCUGGCACUGCUGUGGGGGUGGAACUCAGCCCACACAAUCUGUAAUUUUCAACUGUUUUAAUACUUCUCCUUGUCAUUUUAAGCCCCUUGGGGACUCGGUACCCUUUGUUUGCUGGUGCUUUCAGGUUGCUGCCCUCCCCAACCAUCCCGGCACUGCCCAGAGCUGCUGGAGCUUCCCCCGUGGGUCCCCGCCCUUGUUCCUCCCUGGGAUAGCAUCUGCAGCUCUUUUUCAGGGCACACUUGGGGAGAGAGAGAGAAGAAACUCGGGAGCCAGGGCUGCCGGAGGGGCUUUCCAGCUGCAGGCACAGAGCAGGGAAAUGUUAAAGGGUUCCCACUGCUGCACAUCUGGGUUGAGUUUCAUCGCUGGAUCCUCCCCGCACAUCACGGGGGUCGCCUCUGCCAGAGCCCCCGGGGCUUGGGGAGCCGUGCCGUGGAUCCCAGCGCCGGGGCAGGCAGGGGAGGCUCUGGGUGUCCUUUCCCCCCGCACUGGGGGCUCAGCGAGGCACAGAGCCCAUCUCAGCUCCCAUCUUCCCAGCCCAUCCUCCACAGCCAGGAGCGAGCAGCCCAGCCCUGCCGACCACCCAGGCGUGCUGGGAUGGCCACUGCCACCCCCGGGACCCUCCCCUCAUCCCUCCCUGACACCGCCACCCACCUGCCCUCGCCGGGGUUUGCCAGGGGGCUUUCCCCCCGCAUUCCUUCCAUGCAGGACAUCACCUCCACCCUCCCCUGCCCCAUGUCCGGCAGGGCUGGGGUUGAUGGGAUUGCAGUAGGAGGGGGUGAGGAGCCGCACGGCGAGCUGGACCCCCAAUCCCGGCUGCCACCAGGGUCUCUUCCCCGGCCACACACAUCCAUAUGGAUAUUUAUACAGGAAGGGAGCGAGCAUCCAACCCUGUACGAC